rnacentral:tRNA from 1 species
GCCUGGGUGGCUCAGUCGGUUGAGCGUCUGACUUCGGCUCAGGUCAUGAGUCCGCAGUCCGUGAGUUCGAGCCCCGCAUCAGGCU